AUUGAACGCUGGCGGCAUGCCUUACACAUGCAAGUCGAACGGCAGCACGGGAGCAAUCCUGGUGGCGAGUGGCGAACGGGUGAGUAAAGUAUCGGAACGUACCUUUCAGUGGGGGAUAACGUAGCGAAAGUUACGCUAAUACCGCAUAUUCUGUGCGCAGGAAAGCAGGGGACCUUCGGGCCUUGCGCUGAUUGAGCGGCCGAUAUCAGAUUAGCUAGUUGGUGAGGUAAAGGCUCACCAAGGCGACGAUCUGUAGCGGGUCUGAGAGGAUGAUCCGCCACACUGGAACUGAGACACGGUCCAGACUCCUACGGGAGGCAGCAGUGGGGAAUUUUGGACAAUGGGCGCAAGCCUGAUCCAGCCAUGCCGCGUGAGUGAAGAAGGCCUUCGGGUUGUAAAGCUCUUUCGGCCGGGAAGAAAUCGCAUGGGCUAGUACCCUGUGCGGAUGACGGUACCGGCAUAAGAAGCACCGGCUAACUACGUGCCAGCCGCCGCAGUAAGAC
rnacentral:rRNA from 1 species